UGGGGAAUUUUGGACAAUGGGGGAAACCCUGAUCCAGCCAUCCCGCGUGUGCGAUGAAGGCCUUCUGGUUGUAAAGCACUUUUGGCAGGAAAGAAACGUCAUGGGUUAAUACCCCGUGAAACUGACGGUACCUGCAGAAUAAGCACCGGCUAACUACGUGCCAGCAGCCGCGGUAAUACGUAGGGUGCAAGCGUUAAUCGGAAUUACUGGGCGUAAAGCGUGCGCAGGCGGUUCGGAAAGAAAGAUGUGAAAUCCCAGAGCUCAACUUUGGAACUGCAUUUUUAACUACCGGGCUAGGGUGUGUCAGAGGGAGGUGGAAUUCCGCGUGUAGCAGUGAAAUGCGUAGAUAUGCGGAGGAACACCGAUGGCGAAGGCAGCCUCCUGGGAUAACACUGACGCUCAUGCACGAAAGCGUGGGGAGCAAACAGG
rnacentral:rRNA from 1 species